ACCACUUUGAGGGGCUAAAACAACACCUAACGCCCUUCCCCCUUCCCUUGCAUUAGACAUGCUCUUAUUCAAUUAAGAAAGUAUAUGAAAUAAUUCCAAGGGAGAGACUUACCCAUGCAUGAUGCAUCCUUGGAAAUCCCACAGAACCUCUCUUCUCUCUAAUCACGCUCUUUUGUUUGGGUCGACAUGCCUUCAUCCUCUUUGAUUGGCAUUCUAAACAAGAAUGGUCUCCCUUGCCCUCCGCGGCGUGUCUCUUGACAGAUUUGGGUUGGCUGUGACGUAUCUUGGCUUGUUGAAGCAGCAGCGUCUUUGUUUGCUUUCCAAUCUGUAUCAAAUCUAUGUCUAGUGUUAUUGCUUUGCUUUGCUUGUAGUCCCAUAUCAUCGGACUCUUGCCUGUCUGUAAGUUGGUGCCUAGAGGAGUGUGAGAGGAGGAACAAAGUUACAAUUGGAAAAUGAAGGCAAAUUACAAGAACACACGUGGAUUGCCGAGAGCAGCAACACCACCACAUAGAGCAAUUGACCAGUUCGACAUCCAGUGUGGAUCACAAUCAACAACGUCAUUUGCUGUCACAUCAGAGCUUUUGAUUUAAUUUCUACCACCAAAUUCCCUUCAAGUGAGUGCCACUCCAAAAUGCAGUUAUAUUGGAUUAUAUACCAUCUCAGCUCAGAUUGCAAACCA